UACGUAGGGUGCGAGCGUUGUCCGGAAUUAUUGGGCGUAAAGAGCUCGUAGGCGGUCUGUCGCGUCGGUCGUGAACACUUGGGGCUUAACCCUGAGCUUGCGGUCGAUACGGGCAUGACUGGCGUUCGGCAGGGGAGACUGGAAUUCCUGGUGUAGCGGUGAAAUGCGCAGAUAUCAGGAGGAACACCGGUGGCGAAGGCGGGUCUCUGGGCCGAUACUGACGCUGAGGAGCGAAAGCGUGGGGAGCGAACAGG
rnacentral:rRNA from 1 species